GUAGGUGAACCUGCGGAAGGAUCAUUCACAAUUGAAAAUGCGGCAUAAUUUGCCCAUUUACAUCCAACUUUAAAGUGCAUGGACCUUUGGGUUCUUGUGCUUUAAACCUUGUGUGCAUUGUAUUUAUUUUCUUCUUUUAUUCUUUUUUUUUCAAAUGGGGUGUGAAAGGUUUCGGCCUUUUUCAGUUUGUUUGAAAAAAGAGGUAAGGGAAAGAAUAUAUAUUAAACUUACAAGAUAUCAUAUUGACAGU
rnacentral:misc_RNA from 1 species